GCGCCUGUGGUUCAAUGGUAGAACUGUAGCCUUCCAAGCUACAAGCGUCAGUUCGAUUCUGACCAGGCGCU
rnacentral:tRNA from 1 species